CUCUCUCUUACCUGCCACCGUGUGAGACGCACCUGCUUCCCCUUCCACUGUGAUGGCCAGGGGAGGCAGCGUUCGGGGAUGGGACGCCAAGAGUUAAGGGUGAGGCCGCACGCGUGCAGCUCCCCCGUGCUGCGCAUGGCGCUGGGAUCGGCCUGAGCGGCGGCCCCCAUUUCAGGGAUGGCCAGCGUGGCCGUGGGAUGCUGACGAUACGGGAAGCCAGAGAAUAAAGGCUUUGGUGGAGGUCGGGAGGAGGCGCCGGCCUGGACAGUUUUCCUAGAAAAUAUUCUCUGCGUGUACCCGCGACCUUGCCUCUCGUGGAAAGCCGCUGGGAGUUGGAGCGGCUCCCUCCUGCCCCCGUCUGAGGUCUGGCUGGCUGUUUUCUUGGUGAGGUGCUGGAAUGCACAGGAGGCUCUCCUAGGCAAGCUGUCUGCAAAGGGCACAGAGGCAGCUCUGUAAGCCAGGAAGGACCCUCACCAGGAACCAAACCGGCCGGCUCCUUGGCCUCAGACUUCCAGCUCCAGAACUGCGAGAAAUGUCUUGUUUAGGCUGCCUGGUCUGUGGCAUAUUGUGAUGGGGAUGAGCUGACCGAGACAGGGCCCUCCCCUCGCUCCGUAUCUAUACAUCUGCUGGCUGCCUGCUGACCUCCUGACCGCUGAUGGGUUUGCAGACUCCCCCAGCCACACACAGAGUUUGGAUCAUGCUAUAAUCAUUUUAUAUCCUGCUUUUUAAAAAUGUCAUAUUCAUGAGCAUUUUUUUACUAUUCAAUUGUUUCUUUAAUCAGUUCCUUAUAAAGUAUUUUGGGUUGAUUUUAAUCCUUUACAAUUGUGAACCACUCCCGAUGAGCUUUUUUUUUUUUUCAUUUUCAUUUUUUUUUUAUCGUGGUAGAUAAGAACACUUAACAUGAAAUAAAUCCUCUUAAAUUUUAAGUGUACGACACUUAAAGUGUCAAUGACCCUUGGUGGUUGGUGCAGGUUCAGCGCAGAAUAGCAGAUUUCUGGAGGUUAUUCCUCUCACUUAACAUUAACAGAAACUUUUCUCUGUUGAGAGCUCCCACUUCCUAGCCCUGGAAGCCUCCCUUCCAGUCUUUAUUGUUGUGAUUUGACUAUUUUCAACACCUCAUAGAACUGGAAUCAUGCAGUACUCGAUUUUCUGUGCCUGGCUUAUUUCACUUAGCAUGGUGUCCUCAAGGUCCAUCCAGGCUGCAAAUGGCAGAAGCACCUGUGUCUCGCGGCUGAGCGGCAUUCGUCAGAUGUGCACACCACAUUUUCUUUCUUUUUGAGAUGGAGUCUUGCUGCCACCCAGGCUGGAUGGAGUACAGUGGUGUGAUCUCAGCUCACUGCAACCUCUGCCUCCUGGGGUCAAGCGACUCUCAUGCCUCAGCCUCCCAAGUAGCUGGGACUACAAGUGUGUGCCACCAUGUCCAGCUAAUUGACACCACAUUUUCUAUA
rnacentral:lncRNA from 10 species